AUGAACGCUGGCGGUAUGCUUAACACAUGCAAGUCGAACGGACUCUUCGGAGUUAGUGGCGGACGGGUGAGUAACGCGUGAGAAUCUGUCUUCAGGUCGGGGACAACCACUGGAAACGGUGGCUAAUACCGGAUGUGCCGGAAGGUGAAAGAUUUAUUGCCUGAAGAUGAGCUCGCGUCUGAUUAGCUAGUAGGUGUGGUAAGAGCGCACCUAGGCGACGAUCAGUAGCUGGUCUGAGAGGAUGAUCAGCCACACUGGACUGAGACACGGCCCAGACUCCUACGGGAGGCAGCAGUGGGGAAUUUUCCGCAAUGGGCGAAAGCCUGACGGAGCAAUACCGCGUGAGGGAGGAAGGCUCUUGGGUUGUAAACCUCUUUUCUCAGGGAAGAAAAAAUGACGGUACCUGAGGAAUAAGCAUCGGCUAACUCCGUGCCAGCAGCCGCGGUAAUACGGAGGAUGCAAGCGUUAUCCGGAAUGAUUGGGCGUAAAGCGUCCGCAGGUGGCUAUGUAAGUCUGCUGUUAAAGAGUGAGGCUCAACCUCAUAAAAGCAGUGGAAACUACAAGGCUAGAGUACGUUCGGGGCAGAGGGAAUUCCUGGUGUAGCGGUGAAAUGCGUAGGGAUCAGGAAGAACACCGGUGGCGAAAGCGCUCUGCUAGGCCGUAACUGACACUGAGGGACGAAAGCUAGGGGAGCGAAUGGGAUUAGAUACCCCAGUAGUCCUAGCCGUAAACGAUGGAUACUAGGCGUGGCUUGUAUCGACCCGAGCCGUGCCGGAGCUAACGCGUUAAGUAUCCCGCCUGGGGAGUACGCACGCAAGUGUGAAACUCAAAGGAAUUGACGGGGGCCCGCACAAGCGGUGGAGUAUGUGGUUUAAUUCGAUGCAACGCGAAGAACCUUACCAAGACUUGACAUGUCGCGAAUCUGCCUGAAAGGGAGAGUGCCUUCGGGAGCGCGAACACAGGUGGUGCAUGGCUGUCGUCAGCUCGUGUCGUGAGAUGUUGGGUUAAGUCCCGCAACGAGCGCAACCCUCGUUUUUAGUUGCCAGCAUUAAGUUGGGCACUCUAGAGAGACUGCCGGUGACAAACCGGAGGAAGGUGGGGAUGACGUCAAGUCAGCAUGCCCCUUACGUCUUGGGCUACACACGUACUACAAUGCUACGGACAAAGGGCAGCAAGCUAGCGAUAGCAAGCAAAUCUUAUAAACCGUAGCUCAGUUCAGAUCGCAGGCUGCAACUCGCCUGCGUGAAGUCGGAAUCGCUAGUAAUUGCAGGUCAGCAUACUGCAGUGAAUUCGUUCCCGGGCCUUGUACACACCGCCCGUCACACCAUGGAAGCUGGCAACGCCCGAAGUCAUUACUCCAACUUUUCGGAGGGGAGGAUGCCUAAGGCAGUGCUGGUGACUGGGGUG
rnacentral:rRNA from 1 species